GAUUGAAAUAACUUAACCCAAGAGUAUUAAGAAACAUCUUGAUAUCUAAAAUUGAAAUUAUCGCACUGGAACAAAUUUUGAAAAAAAUUGAAUACAUGUUCUAGAUCUAGUACAUGUACACUAGUCAUUUGUAUGCUCGUGUUGGAAUCACAGGCUUUAAGCGAAUUACUAACAUAGAAACUAAAUACCAAACAUGAAAUGCGACCC
rnacentral:lncRNA from 1 species